AAAAAAAAAAAAAAAAAAACAUGCCCAUCCUUUCACUCUUUUCAACACUAUCAUAUUCUGCUCUUUUACUUUUUAGAACAUGCACAUCAUAUUAGCUUCCACCAGACUUAGCUAUAUGUAACGCAUUUGGGCAUAUAAAAGAUAAUUAACCCAUUUGCUUAAUUAAAUGUAAUUAAUUAAUAUAAUAACCACUUGCUUUGCCUAGCUAUCUACCUCCACUUGCACAAAUAAUGGAGAGUUUUGUGACCUUCAAAUUGAUUAUGUGGUGGUCUAUUGAAUGCUUGCAAUUCAUUGCAUUUGCUUCUGCUGCUGCAAGAGAAUUUAUUCACUAUAUGAUGUUGCCGUGAGUUUCAAGAUACUAGUCAUAUUGUUACGUAAGCCUGUAAAACAGAAA
rnacentral:misc_RNA from 1 species